UACGUAGGGUGCAAGCGUUGUCCGGAAUUAUUUGGCGUAAAGAGCUUGUAGGCGGUUUGUCGCGUCUGCUGUGAAAUUUCGGGGCUCAACCCCGAACUUGCAGUGGGUACGGGCAGACUAGAGUGUGGUAGGGGAGACUGGAAUUCCUGGUGUAGCGGUGAAAUGCGCAGAUAUCAGGAGGAACACCGAUGGCGAAGGCAGGUCUCUGGGCCACUACUGACGCUGAGAAGCGAAAGCAUGGGGAGCGAACAGG
rnacentral:rRNA from 1 species